UCUAUAGAUGUUGUGAACAUCCGACAUACACGUUUCUGAUGACUACACGAUAGUUUAGUACAAAAUACUUAAUGGCUUAGAAGCAAGGCGCCGAAGACGUUUUGAAACGUCACGGAACAUAAGAGAUGUUCUAAAGAGAUGAAAUUGUGAUUUCAUGCAUGUGCCCUUGUUAAGAGGUAUGAGACCUCCGACAAGAUUCUUUGUCCACGAAGUAAAGGAGAAAAGCUCAAUCGUUGAGCGUGUGCUCAGAUUAUCUGAGUACGACAAUCGCUUGAAUCAAUUGGGAGUUGAUCUUCCAGAUAAGAUAGUGAUGGUUCUCCAAAGUCACUGCCACCAAGCUGUGAGAGCU
rnacentral:lncRNA from 1 species